rnacentral:rRNA from 1 species
UACGGAGGGUGCAAGCGUUAUCCGGAUUCACUGGGUUUAAAGGGUGCGUAGGUGGUUUGGUAAGUCAGUGGUGAAAUCUCCGAGCUUAACUUGGAAACUGCCAUUGAUACUAUCAGUCUUGAAUAUUGUGGAGGUCAGCGGAAUAUGUCAUGUAGCGGUGAAAUGCUUAGAUAUGACAUAGAACACCAAUUGCGAAGGCAGCUGGCUACUCAUAUAUUGACACUGAGGCACGAAAGCGUGGGGAUCAAACAGG